rnacentral:rRNA from 1 species
ACGCACGCUGUCGGCGUGCUUAACCCAUGCAAGUCGCACGAUGAUGCCAGCUUGCUGGUGGACUAGUGGCGAACGGGUGAGUAACACGUGAGCAACCUGCCCCUGACUUCGGGAUAACCGCGGGAAACCGUGGCUAAUACCGGAUAUGACGCGCUAUCGCAUGGUGGUGUGUGGAAAGAUUUAUCGGUUGGGGAUGGGCUCGCGGCCUAUCAGCUUGUUGGUGGGGUGAUGGCCUACCAAGGCGACGACGGGUAGCCGGCCUGAGAGGGUGACCGGCCACACUGGGACUGAGACACGGCCCAGACUCCUACGGGAGGCAGCAGUGGGGAAUAUUGCACAAUGGGCGCAAGCCUGAUGCAGCGACGCCGCGUGAGGGAUGACGGCCUUCGGGUUGUAAACCUCUUUCAGUAGGGAAGAAGGCCUUCGGGUUGACGGUACCUGCAGAAGAAGCGCCGGCUAACUACGUG